rnacentral:misc_RNA from 1 species
CCAAACUUGGUCAUUUAGAGGAAGUAAAAGUCGUAACAAGGUUUCCGUAGGUGAACCUGCGGAAGGAUCAUUAACACGUAUCCACGUAUCAACCCCUCUGUGCAACCUAGUUUUGUUGAGGCCGGUCUAGUGUGCUCGCUCGCCAUGGGAUCUUAAUGAUGGGAGGGUGGUUCCUUCGGGGGCCUUCCUCAGGAUCUCGAGCAAGCAUGCGUUUUGACGAUCAGCCGCUAUUUUUCCAUCGUUAGCCCUUUAUUCUUUUAAAACCCCUUUGUACUUCUCUUGUACUGAACCAAUUCUUCGAGUUUUUGCCUUAGGGCGAAGCACGAAAGAUAUUACGAAACUAAAGAACAACUCUUAGCAACGGAUAUCUUGGUUCCCGCAUCGAUGAAGAACGCAGC